rnacentral:rRNA from 1 species
GAUGAACGCUAGCGGCAGGCCUAAUACAUGCAAGUCGAACGGUAACAUGAGUAGCAAUACUUGAUGACGAGUGGCGCACGGGUGCGUAACGCGUAUGCAAUCUACCUUUAACUGGUGAAUAGCCCGAAGAAAUUCGGAUUAAUACACCAUAGUAUAUUUCUGUAGCAUUACUAGAAUAUUAAAGUCCCAACGGUUAAAGAUGAGCAUGCGUGACAUAGCUAGUUGGUGAGGUAAUGGCUCACCAAGGCUACGAUGUCUAGGGGA